rnacentral:sRNA from 12 species
UUUUUGUUUGGUCGGGGUAAACGGCAGCGAACAGACUUAGCACCCGGUACUGUGGGGUCAGGGGAGGAAGCACCGGACAGGCGGCGAAGUUGGCACCUGUUCCCCGAAAGGCCGACGACC